GUGCCAGCAGCCGCGGUAAUACCGGCAGUCCAAGUGAUGGCCGAUAUUAUUGGGCCUAAAGCGUCCGUAGCCUGCUGUGUAAGUCCAUUGGGAAAUCGACGCGCUCAACGCGUCGGCGUCCGGUGGAAACUACACAGCUUGGGGCCGAGAGACUUGACGGGUACGUCCGGGGUAGGAGUGAAAUCCCGUAAUCCUGGACGGACCGCCGAUGGCGAAAGCACUCUGAGAAGACGGCUUCGACAGUGAGGGACGAAAGCUGGGAUCUCGAACCGGAUUAGAUACCCCGGUAGUCC
rnacentral:rRNA from 1 species